CACAUAUUCUUCAGCAUAUCCUCGAUUCCCUUCCUAUCUUCUCUGCCCAGCGGUAGUAGUGCAAGCUUGAUCCAGACCCCUUCUCCUCCUUCGGAUCGAGGCCACACACACCACUGAGCUCCUCCUCCUCCUCCCCCUUCCUCCCCACGCGCUCAACGCCAGGUCAUGCAGGGAGCGCACACGCAGGGGCCUUAGUGGCUGUUAUCGCCGCCACCACACCCGGGCGUUGUCGCGCCACCGCCGCCUCCGCCUCCCUCCUAGUUCGUCGGCCGUUGGUGCCCGCCCUCCUGCGUCUGGCACCGCCACCCCCUCUCUGGCUCACCUCCAUGCGUGAGGGCAACGACGGUAGCGCCCGACGUCCACCGUCCUAGGCCCGUCCCUCGCCGACGGGAGAGUAUUGGUCUGCGGAUUGUAACCUCCUAUUACAGAGGAACUUUUUAUUCCUUGAAUCACUCUUUCCACUUGCUGGAUUAAUUUCUUUGCUCUAUUGUCUUCUCUGCUUAUUGACUUGUGAUGCAGCAAGGCUGCCGAUGUAUAAAAAUUGACAUAUUAGGUGUAAAAGAGCGAGGUGAGACUGAGGCGGGGCGGUGCAGGAGGCGGCCGGCGGAGCGGGAUAGGACGCCGCCGGUGGAGCGCGGCGAGAUAGGACAUAACCUCCAUUACAACAUUCAUACCAUAGGCUAGCUUUUAGGGUUUACCCUCCUUGAUCUCGUGGUAGAUCUACUCUUGUACUACCCAUAUCAUCAAUAUUAAUCAAGCAGGACGUAGGGUUUUACCUC
rnacentral:rRNA from 1 species